rnacentral:rRNA from 1 species
AAGGAUCAUUACGUAGAGUUUGUAGAUUCGGUCUGNUACCUCUUACCCAUGUCUUUUGAGUACCUUCGUUUCCUCGGCGGGUCCGCCCGCCGAUUGGACAACAUUCAAACCCUUUGCAGUUGCAAUCAGCGUCUGAAAGAACAUAAUAGUUACAACUUUCAACAACGGAUCUCUUGGUUCUGGCAUCGAUGAAGAACGCAGCGAAAUGCGAUAAGUAGUGUGAAUUGCAGAAUUCAGUGAAUCAUCGAAUCUUUGAACGCACAUUGCGCCCCUUGGUAUUCCAUGGGGCAUGCCUGUUCGAGCGUCAUUUGUACCUUCAAGCUCUGCUUGGUGUUGGGUGUUUGUCUCGCCUCUGCGUGUAGACUCGCCUUAAAACAAUUGGCAGCCGGCGUAUUGAUUUCGGAGCGCAGUACAUCUCGCGCUUUGCACUCACAACGACGACGUCCAAAAGUACAUUUUUACACUCUUGACCUCGGAUCAGGUAGGGAUACCCGCUGAACUUAA